GUUAGUAGAGGCACCCCUCUGUCCCCAACUAACCUAGAGGCACCUGAUGCCCCUAGAACUUUCCCCAGCCCAUACUUAGGCUAGGAAAACAUCAUCACACAUGGGUCCACUCGUUUCCAACAAGCUUCACCUUCGGCCUUCCACCUAGGCCAUGGCUUGGCCGAACUUGGCCACGGCCGCGCGCGUUCCGUCUGGACCGCGCCCUAAGGGGCUAACAAACCACCCCCACCUGAAGAGGUUGACGCCCUCG
rnacentral:lncRNA from 1 species